GUAGUCCACGCCGUAAACGAUGAUUACUCGAUGUCGGCGAUAUAAUGUCGGUGUCUAAGCGAAAGUGUUAAGUAAUCCACCUGGGGAGUACGUUCGCAAGAAUGAAACUCAAAGGAAUUGACGGGGGCCCGCACAAGCGGUGGAGCAUGUGGUUUAAUUCGAUGAUACGCGAGGAACCUUACCUGGGCUUAAAUGCUAUUUGACAGAUCUGGAAACAGAUUUUUCUUCGGACAGAUUGCAAGGUGCUGCAUGGCUGUCGUCAGCUCGUGCUGUGAGGUGUCGGGUUAAGUCCCAUAACGAGCGCAACCCCUAUUCUUAGUUGCCAGCGAGUAAUGUCGGGGACUCUAAGGAGACUGCCGGUGCAAACCGUGAGGAAGGUGGGGAUGACGUCAAGUCAGCACGGCCCUUACGUCCAGGGCUACACACGUGCUACAAUGGCAGGUACAGAGGGCAGCUACAUAGCGAUAUGAUGCGAAUCUUCAAAGCCUGUCUCAGUUCGGAUCGGGGUCUGAAACUCGACCCCGUGAAGCUGGAAUCGCUAGUAAUCGGAUAUCAGCCAUGAUCCGGUGAAUACGUUCCCGGGCCUUGUACACUCCGCCC
rnacentral:rRNA from 1 species